rfam:Enterococcus sp. 6C8_DIV0013 scaffold00002, whole genome shotgun sequence.
UGAUAGCUUGGUAAGAAAACUCAUAUAAUUUCAGAAAUAUGGUCUGAAAGUUUCUACAAGUUACCCGUAAAGUAACUUACUAUGGCAAAGGUAUUGUUUUUC